AUUGAACGCUGGCGGAAUGCUUUACACAUGCAAGUCGAGCGGCAGCGCGGGGCAACCUGGCGGCGAGCGGCGAACGGGUGAGUAACAUAUCGGAACGUACCCAGUCGUGGGGGAUAACUAUCCGAAAGGAUAGCUAAUACCGCAUACGACCUGAGGGUGAAAGGGGGGGAUCGCAAGACCUCUCGCGAUUGGAGCGGCCGAUAUCGGAUUAGCUAGUUGGUGAGGUAAAGGCUCACCAAGGCGACGAUCCGUAGCUGGUCUGAGAGGACGACCAGCCACACUGGAACUGAGACACGGUCCAGACUCCUACGGGAGGCAGCAGUGGGGAAUUUUGGACAAUGGGGGGCAACCCUGAUCCAGCCAUUCCGCGUGAGUGAAGAAGGCC
rnacentral:rRNA from 1 species